UUCUGGUUGAUCCUGCCAGAGGUCACUGCUAUUGGAGUUUGAUUAAGCCAUGCGAGUCGAGAGGGUUAGACCCUCGGCGGACGGCUCAGUAACACGUGGGUAAUCUACCCUCAGGACAGGGAUAACCCCGGGAAACUGGGGAUAAUACCUGAUAGGUGGAGAGGCCUGGAAUGAUUCUUCACUUAAAGCUCCGGUGCCUGAGGAUGAGCCUGCGCCUGAUUAGGUUGUUGGCGGUGUAAUGGACCACCAAGCCGAAGAUCAGUACGGGCAGUGAGAGCUGUAGCCCGGAGAUGGGGGCUGAGACACGGCCCCAGGCCCUACGGGGCGCAGCAGGCGCGAAAACUCCGCAAUGUUCGAAAGAACGACGGGGGAACUCCAAGUGCACUUGCGCAAGCAAGUGGUUUUUAGUAGUGUAAAUAGCUGUUAGAAUAAGAGCUGGGUAAGACCGGUGCCAGCCGCCGCGGUAACACCGGCAGCUCGAGUGGUGACCGCUUUUAUUGGGCCUAAAGCGUUCGUAGCCGGUCCAGUAAGUCUUUGGGCAAAUCUUCUCGCUCAACGAAAAGAAUUCCGAAGAUACUGCUGGACUUGGGGCCGAGAGAGGUUAGAGGUACUCCUGGGGUAGGGGUGAAAUCCUAUAAUCCUGGGGGGACCGCCAGUGGCGAAGGCGUCUAACCAGAGCGGACCCGACGGUGAGGGACGAAAGCCAGGGGCGCGAACGGGAUUAGAUACCCCGGUAGUCCUGGCCGUAAACGCUGCAUGCUAGGUGUUGCAUGCUCUACGGGGGCAUGCAGUGCCGAAGAGAAGUUGAUAAGCGUGCCGCCUGGGAAGUAUUAUCGCAAGGUAGAAACUUAAAGGAAUUGGCGGGGGAGCACCACAAGGGGUGGAGUCUGCGGUUUAAUUGGAAUCAACGCCGGG
rnacentral:rRNA from 1 species